rnacentral:rRNA from 2 species
CUUUAUUGGAGAGUUUGAUCCUGGCUCAGGACGAACGCUGG